rnacentral:rRNA from 1 species
AACGAACGCUGGCGGCAUGCCUAACACAUGCAAGUCGAACGAGACCUUCGGGUCUAGUGGCGCACGGGUGCGUAACGCGUGGGAACCUGCCCUUAGGUUCGGAAUAACUCCCCGAAAGGGGUGCUAAUACCGGAUAAUGUCUUCGGACCAAAGAUUUAUCGCCUUUGGAUGGGCCCGCGUUGGAUUAGCUAGUUGGUAGGGUAAAAGCCUACCAAGGCGACGAUCCAUAGCUGGUCUGAGAGGAUGAUCAGCCACACUGGGACUGAGACACGGCCCAGACCCCUGGGGGAGGGAGGGGAGGGGAAAUUGAGGAAAGGGGCGAAAGCCAAGCCAACAAAGGCCGGGGGGGUGAAGAAGGGCUUGGGUUUUAAAAGCUCUUUUCACGGGGAGGAUAAGACGGUAACCGGGAAAAAAGCCCCGGCUAACUCCGGG